rnacentral:rRNA from 1 species
UACGGGAGGCAGCAGUGGGGAAUAUUGCACAAUGGGCGAAAGCCUGAUGCAGCUAUGCCGCGUGUAUGAAGAAGGCCUUAGGGUUGUAAAGUACUUUCAUCGGGGAGGAAAAACAAAACUAAUAAUUUUAUUUCUUGACGUUACCCGAAAAAGAAGCACCGGCUAACUCCGUGCCAGCAGCCGCGGUAAUACGGAGGGUGCUAGCGUUAAUCAGAAUUACUGGGCGUAAAGAGCACGUAGGUGGUUUUUUUAAGUCAGAUGUGAAAUCCCUGGGCUUAACCUAGGAACUGCAUUUUGAAACUGAAAUACUAGAGUAUCGUAGAGGAAGGUAGAAUUCUAGGUGUAGCGGUGAAAUGCGUAGAUAUCUGGAGGAAUACCUGUGGCGAAAGCGGCCUCCUAAACGAAUACUGACACUGAGGUGCGAAAGCGUGGGGAGCAAACAGGGAUUAGAUACC